rnacentral:misc_RNA from 1 species
AAAGUCGUAACAAGGUUUCCGUAGGUGAACCUGCGGAAGGAUCAUUACAGUGUUCCCUGCCCUCACGGGUAGAAACGCCCACCCUUUGUGUAAUAUAUCUUGUUGCUUUGGCAGGCCGCCCUCGGGCACCGGCUUCGGCUGGGCUGCGCCUGCCAGAGGACCCCAAACUCUGAAUGUUAGUGUCGUCUGAGUACUAUAUAAUAGUUAAAACUUUCAACAACGGAUCUCUUGGUUCUG